rnacentral:rRNA from 1 species
GUGAGGAAUAUUGGUCAAUGGGCGAGAGCCUGAACCAGCCAAGUCGCGUGAAGGAAGAAGGAUCUAUGGUUCGUAAACUUCUUUUGCAGGGGAAUAAAGUGCAGGACGUGUCCUGUUUUGUAUGUACCCUGAGAAUAAGGAUCGGCUAACUCCGUGCCAGCAGCCGCGGUAAUACGGAGGAUCCGAGCGUUAUCCGGAUUUAUUGGGUUUAAAGGGUGCGUAGGUGGUUUGAUAAGUCAGCGGUGAAAGUUUGCAGCUUAACUGUAAAAAUGCCGUUGAAACUGUCGGACUUGAGUGUAAAUGAGGUAGGCGGAAUGCGUGGUGUAGCGGUGAAAUGCAUAGAUAUCACGCAGAACUCCGAUUGCGAAGGCAGCUUACUAAGCUACAACUGACACUGAAGCACGAAAGCGUGGGGAUCAAACAGGAUUAGAUACCCGAGUAGUCC